AUACCAUGGUGAGGGCAUCUCCUUAAUAAUUCUUUGAAUCGCUCCCAUUCUUUAUAAAGAGAUUUAUCUUCCUAUUGAUGAAAAGAGGUAAUCUCAUUUCAGAGUUU